AAAGUAAAGGUAAAUGGCACCUUAGGAUGUCCAAUCUGUACUGGAAAAAAGAAGCUGGACUACAAGGAUUUGCUUCAACAUGCGUCAGGAGUCGCAAAGGUUUCUGCCAACAGGAGCGGAAAACAAAAGGCAAACCACCUUGUCUUAGCAGUGUAUUUGGAAAUUGACCUAGCAAAUGAAGCAGAUUAAAUUCAAUGUCCAGUUUUGCCACAAGCUGCCAAUCAAACUCCAGAGGAAGAUGAUGUCUUUUUACGGCCCUGGAUGGGAAUAGUAGUUAACAUUUUUAGUGAUCCAAAGGAUGGUAAUGUCGCAAUGUGUGAGAGUAGGUAUAGGUUGAAAAGGUUUGCUCAGUAUAAACCUUUGGA
rnacentral:misc_RNA from 1 species